GUGGGGAAUCUUCCGCAAUGGACGAAAGUCUGACGGAGCAACGCCGCGUGAGUGAAGAAGGUUUUCGGAUCGUAAAGCUCUUUCGUUAGGGACGAACGUGCUCUUUGUGAAUAAUGAGGAGUAAUGACGGUACCUAAAUAAGAAGCCACGGCUAACUACGUGCCAGCAGCCGCGGUAAUACGUAGGUGGCAAGCGUUGUCCGGAAUUAUUGGGCGUAAAGCGCGCGCAGGCGGGAUAUCAAGUCUGUCUUAAAAGUGCGAGGCUCAACCUCGUGAGGGGACAGAAACUGGUAUUCUUGAGUGUCGGAGAGGAAAGUGGAAUUCCAAGUGUAGCGGUGAAAUGCGUAGAGAUUUGGAAGAACACCAGUGGCGAAGGCGACUUUCUGGACGAAAACUGACGCUGAGGCGCGAAAGCCAGGGGAGCGAACGGGAUUAGAUACCCUAGUAGUCC
rnacentral:rRNA from 1 species